rnacentral:rRNA from 1 species
AAAAUUUUAUUUUUACCCCCAACACUUGUUUGUGUGACAUUUGUCAUUGCACUCAGGUAUAAGUAACACCCUUUUUGUUACAUUACCCCCCCUCACAAUUUUUUUUAUAUAUAUUAAACACAAGUUAAAUUAAGAAUGUAAAACCCUAUUAUUUUUUAAAUAACUUUUAACAAUGGAUCACUAGGCCCUCAUAUCGAUGAGGAACACAGUGAAAUGUGAUAAGUAAUGUGAAUUGCAGAAUUCAGUGAAUCAUUGAAUCUUUAAACGCACCUUGCACCUUUUGGUAUUCCAAAAGGUACACCUGUUUGAGUGUCAUGAAAAUCUCUCAUCAAAUUAAUUUUUGGUGGAUGUUGAGUGCUGCUGUUAUCUAGCUCACUUUAAAUAUAUAAGUUCUUUCUACUAUUUGUUGGAUUGACUUGGUGUAAUAUCUUUUUCACCAAGGAAAGUAGCAAUACUUGCCAAUAAUAAUGGAAUAAGGACUCCUAAACAAUUGAUUUCAUUAUCAAUAAUUUAUUCAUUUUUAAGACCUCAAAUCAGGUGGGACUACCUGCUGAACUUAAGCAUAUCAAUAAGCGGAGGA